rnacentral:misc_RNA from 1 species
AAGUCGUAACAAGGUUUCCGUAGGUGAACCUGCGGAAGGAUCAUUUAUAUAUAUCUUUUUUUAUGAAUAAUUGUCUUUAUUAAAACUGCCUUUUGAUUUAUUGAAUGUAAACUUUUAAAAAUUUAAAACUUGCAACAACGGAUCUCUUGGCUCUCC